rnacentral:rRNA from 1 species
AACGAACGCUGGCGGCAUGCCUAACACAUGCAAGUCGAACGAGACCUUCGGGUCUAGUGGCGCACGGGUGCGUAACGCGUGGGAACCUGCCCUUAGGUUCGGAAUAACUCCCCGAAAGGGGUGCUAAUACCGGAUAAUGUCUUCGGACCAAAGAUUUAUCGCCUUUGGAUGGGCCCGCGUUGGAUUAGCUAGAUGGUAGGGUAAAAGCCUACCAAGGCGACGAUCCAUAGCUGGUCUGAGAGGAUGAUCAGCCACACUGGGACUGAGACACGGCCCAGACUCCUACGGGAAGCAGCAGUGGGGAAUAUUGGACAAUGGGCGAAAGCCUGAUCCAGCAAUGCCGCGUGAGUGAUGAAGGCCUUAGGGUUGUAAAGCUCUUUUACCCGGGAUGAUAAUGACAGUACCGGGAGAAUAAGCUCCGGCUAACUCCGUG